rnacentral:rRNA from 1 species
UACAGAGGGUGCAAGCGUUAAUCGGAAUUACUGGGCGUAAGCGUGCGUAGACGGUUAUGUAAGUCGGGUGUGAAAGCCCCGGGCUCAACCUGGGAAUUGCACUUCGAGACUGUGUAGCUAGGGUACGGAAGGAGGGAAGCGGAAUUCGAGGGUGUAGCGGUGGAAUGCGUAGAUAUCUGAAGGAACACCAGUGGCGAAAGCGGCUUCCUCGGUGCCAGUACCGACGUCAGGCACGAAAGCGUGGGAGCAAACAGG